rnacentral:lncRNA from 1 species
AUCAGCAUCAGAGCAGCAGCACAGGUUCAGCCAACAGGAUGCUCCUUCUACACCUGCUGCUCCUCUGCGUGUUUCCCCGUUGAACACACUCUAAAGGAGGUUGCUUUAUUUAUCACCAGAGACUCUGGAAUUCUGCAUUAACAGGAUGUGUGGUAUGGAUGUAGACCUGGAUGAUGGAGGCUCAGCUGAUGAGGAGAAAGAGGAGGAGUUCCUGUUUGGGGAGGGAGUGAAGAUGAUGCCCCCUCCUAUAGCCCACAGUGCAGGCAGUGCCUGGGGGAGCCGCAGGGGCAGGUGUGGCUGUGUGGUCCACGGGGCAGGGCUUGUGGCGUGGAACCUGUGCGUGGUCCUGGUCAGCAUGUUGCUCCUGGCUGUGGUGUUUGCUGUGGUCCUGCUGCCUGCAGUGUUGCUGCUGUACGCUGGCUUCCUCUGCCACUCCAGGGUGCUGAAUGCCUCCUCUGCCAUCUGCCAUUACCUGGAUGACAACAGCUGUUCAGCCCUCAUCAUUCUUGGCUUUGUGAUGAUGUCUCCUCUCGUCGUUGUGGCAGCAGCCAUUUUCUGUGGCCUGCUGCGAAGGUUUCGACUGCUGCUCUAUAUUCAACCUAUCAGCCGGGCCUGGUACCAGGGAAGGCUGCUGGACUGGGCUGGAAAGGUUAAUGCCUGGGUCUGAUUGAUACGCUGGAGGAGGCGCUGAGGGAAAAAGAAAAGCCAAACCCCAAACAUAAAGAGGGUCGUAAAUGAUUCAUCGUGGUGCCAUCACUUCUGCUUUUGUUUAGGUGUUUGACACCGUGUGGGAAAUGUAUUACGUUGGUGUCUUGUUGUUACCAGAUCAGCAUUACUCCACUUCAUCUGAGAUUAGUGCAUCAGUUUAGACUCAUCGGUAAAAGAGGAGGAGAAGCAGUGACCUUAAUCUUAAUUAAUUCAUCUUCUCUACGUUUGUUGGCUCUUUUCGUCAAUAAUUCAAGUCUUGUAGAACGUGGUUCCUGCAGUGUUGUCAGUGCUAAUUGUGUGAAUCUCAUUUGCAUUGGAAGAGUGUUUUGCAUUCUUCAAACAAUCUUCUACAAUUCAUGGAAAAGUAUCAAUCCAACUACAAAAGCGCACCAACCUGACCUGUUCUGGCACUUGUUAGAUUUAGUAUUAAAAUAGAUUUAAGACAGAAACAAUUUGGUUGCUCUUAGUUGUCUUUUCAAAUGUGCAUUUUUUGUGUAUGUGAUUCUUUGAUUCAAUGGGUUGACUUUCAAGAAGCCUAAACAGAUCAUAUACAGGUUGCAUAUGGGCAAAAAAGAAUAGAAUUGGAGGCAGCAUUCGCCUAAAAAUGACUGCCAUCGUGCAACAUAAGCCUGAGAAACUUGCAAUAUUCUGCUAAAAAAAAUUUAUGUAUUUAUGCAGCACUCAUAUGUGUGCGUAUAGACGUGGUUGAGACCUCCCUAUUUAAAUGAUCUCUGCGUAUGUGUUUGCACCUGCCUGUGGGUCGUACUAUUUUCCGGUGCUAAAACAAUCACCGCAAACAGUUCCAGAUUAGUUGAAUUAGAUUGCGCCCACUGCAUUAAUUUAUUUGCAUUUCCUCCUCCCAUUUUUUUGCGCCCCUUAUGAGAUCCCCCUACUUAACGUAUUAAUCAGAGGGAAACAUGCUAAAUAGAUUGUGGGCGCAUUUUUAUCCCUUAUUAGUGCGUGGAGUGACGUUUGCACACGUUUUAAUACCCCUAAACUUUUAGUGAAUCUGCCCCUGAGUUUCCCCAGCAGUUGGGAAGCAGUUAUUCACCUUGGAACAAAAUGUGGAACAAUUACUUGCACACAUACCAUUAAGAACAGUCCUAUUAAACGACGCAGGCUGUGACAUGAAUUUCUCUUUAUUUAGGUGGAGCCAGUUGUUAUAGAAGGAUUUUAAUCUUUAGAUCAGAGGCUCAGUCUGCAGCAUUCAGUCAUUUAAAUUCAACAGUGAAUCACUGGCGAGUUAUCUCUGUCUGUCCUUGGUGUUUAAAUGUUCAGCAUUAGGCUUUAAUGUUUCUGACUAAAGAGCUGUCAGUUUUACAGAAGGUCUUUUUUUUAAUCACCUGGAGGAAACAAAAUAUAUUCUAAAAUAUGUAUUCGUGCAGGUCUGCCAUCCAUCUGUAUGAAAAUAGCUUUUUUGGGAAAGAGGAUAAACAUUAUUAAUGGCUGAUAAUAAGAAGUUUUUUGUUCAGCUGUGUCAGUCACAGAUGAAUAACAUUUCAAUGUGUGUCUGAUGUGACCCUCGAUAAGUGAAUAAAAUUCCUUUUUUUUUUGCUUAGUGUGUGGGU